CAGUGAUUGCCUUCUUGACUGUUGAGCCCACUAUCGGUCUUGUCCGCUCAAUCCGCCUUUAUGACUGUUGAAGCCUGUUUUUACCUGUAGGGGAAGACCCUAACUCGCUGAGGGUUUGAGACUCAUCGACUACCCUCACCUGGUUUAGCCGGCCAGUCAAAGCUGUUUCCCAGGGUGUGGCUGCUUUUGCACACUGGCAGCUUCUAGAGGCCACAGGUGAGAGCUGAGUGCCAGGUGGGGAUCAAAGGUAGACAAACCACCCCAGAAUGAGCAUGGUGUAUCCCCCACCAGAGGUACUACCCCUUCCCUAACACCCCAUACACCCUGAGAGACCAAUGCACCACUGCAUACAUGGCCACAUUAGGGAUGCAGUCAUUAUAGGAUGGUGGUUGAAUGUGGAGUAAAAUGCUGGUGCUGGCUGUUGUGCCGUGUGUUUUCAUGUUGGGUAAGAUGAACAUGAGCAGUAGAAUGUAUAAGGAACCUUCUGCGUUCCUUCCCCAGGAUCAUGGUUUAGCAACUUUGUAAUGGCCAUCACAGGGAUAAGAACAUGGGUAAGCAACCUAAGGCCUGGGGGCCGGAUCCUGCUCAAUCAUCUUCUAAAUCCGGCCAUUGGACGGUCCAGGAAUCAACGUGUUUUUACAUGAGUAGAAUGUGUCCUUUUAUUUAAAAUGCAUCUCUGGGUUAUUUGUGGGGCAUGGGAAUUUGUUCAUUAUUAUUUUUUUCAAAAUAUCGUCUGGCCCCCCACAAGGUCUGAGGGACAGUGGACCGGCCCCCUGCUGAAAAAGUAUGCUGACCCCUGGGUAAUAAGGACCUGGUGUGGUGUGCAGUACUGCCUUUUAAAAAUCUGUCUUGCGUAGGGCAGGCCAUCUGCUCUGCCUGUUGGCCUGUUUUCUUUUCUCUACACUUCCAACUGGCCAGUACAAUCCCUCUUGUUACCAGUAUAGCUUGCCAGCUUUUGGGCAAAGCUUGUGCAGUUUCAGGGCCAUCCAUUAUAUAUAUUUUUUUUAAAAAAAUGAUGAGGUCCCAAGGGAAAGUAUAUUCAAGCUUGGGCAGAUUUGAGGGUAAACCAUACACAGCACGGGUCUGCCCUUGUGGCUUGUUGGAAGUUGAAACUGCUUCACAUGUACUAUUACGUUGUCGUCUUUAUGAGGAUAUACGUUUGACUUUUAUUACACCUGUUUUGCAAAAGUCCAGGAAGGAAUCGGAACACCAUAGUUUAAAAUUACUGCUAGAGGACAAGAAUCCCAAGACUACAUUAAAUGUAGCCAAAUUCUGUGCGUCUGCAAUUAAUCGCAGGAAGCAAGUGGUAUCCCAUAAUGACCAAACCCCCAAAUGUUAAUUACAGGGGGCACGCUAAUAAUUAACUUUAAUUUUUUAUAUUUAAAUCCUUGUUAUAUUCAUAUUGUCCUCUGUAUUUCUGAUUUUUUUUUUUAAUGAUCUGUGAUAUUGUGUGUGUUGACGCUGGUCUGUGACCGUAUUAAUAAAUUCAUUCAUUCAUAUAUUCAAGCUUUAUGGGUCCAAUAGUGGUUUCUUUGCAGGCAGACAACAAAUGUCAAAGGCUUUGUCUGCCUGCCUCUCCUGUCACUUUGGAGAAAGAAUGGACUGGAGCUGGUACACUAGCACAAAACUUUUUGGAAGGAGAGCAAGGCUGGCAUGCAAAGACCUCAGGAGACUUUGGCCACUGAAAACAAAAUGGUCCUAUCCUCUUUCUUUUUGUUUCAGGUAGCCAGCUGGAACCUCCCCCUCUUGUUCAGGUAUGGAAAACAGAGGUUGGCAAGGAACAAGGCUCUUUUAUUUUUACAGGCAUUUUAUAGGAACAGCAAAGCUUAUUGCAAGGGAUGCAGUCAAAAUGGGAGGAUGGACUUUU